AAUCGAAGCAAACGCUUGGAGAAGGUCCAUGUGGUUAUUGGGCCUAAAUCAUGUGACUUGGAUUCUCUGAUUUCUACCUUCACAUAUGCUUACUUUCUAGACAAGGUCAGUCCACCAGGGGUUCUGUGUUUACCAGUGCUGAACAUACCAAGAACAGAAUUCAACUACUUCACCGAGACAAGGUUUAUUUUAGAAGAGCUAAAUAUUUCCGAAUCAUUCCACAUAUUCCGGGAAGAAAUUAACCUGCAUCAGCUAAAUGAUGAAGGGAAGUUAUCGAUAACACUUGUUGGCAGUAAUGUGCUGGCGAGUGAAGACAAAACUUUAGAAUCAGCAGUUGUCAAAGUCAUUAAUCCGGUUGAGCAGAGCGAUGCCAACGUUGAGUUCCGAGAGUCUUCCUCUUCUCUCGUGCUGAAGGAGAUUCUCCAGGAGGCUCCUGAGCUCAUCACCGAGCAACUGGCUCAUCGCCUCAGAGGUAGCAUUCUUUUCAAGUGGAUGACCAUGGAAUCAGAGAAGAUCUCAGAGAAGCAGGAGGAAAUUCUUUCUAUCCUGGAAGAAAAAUUUCCUAACUUGCCUCCAAGAGAGGACAUCAUCAACGUCCUACAGGAGACCCAGUACAGUGCUCAGGGUUUAAGUAUUGAACAGACAAUGUUGAAAGAUCUAAAGGAACUGUCAGAUGGAGAAAUAAAAGUGGCCAUUAGUACUGUGAGCAUGAACCUUGAGGUAAGGGUGGGAAUGCUUUUUUAGCAUUGAUUGCUUUCCCACAAUUGCAGUCUGAGCAACUGGAAUGUAACUCUCUCCACUGGAUAAGUCCAUGGUAGUCCUUUGCUUCUUUGUGAUACGUUUGACUUGGAAUAUAGUGGCAGGUUGUUAUUUGGAUGAAAACACUGUGCUAAGUCAAUGAAAAAUGCCAAACCUGGAUUCUCAAGAUGAAUGCUCUUUCAUUCAUCUCAGUAAAACAAAGCCUAAGACACAAACACUCAGAUGUGGGUGUAUAUUUAACCUGUUUAGUAGCAAUUAUGGUAUGUGUGAUUAGGUUCACUUCCAUAUUUUCUGUGUACCACCCUGUAUUGUUCAUAGAACUUUUCUUAAAAAAAAAAAAAAGA
rnacentral:sRNA from 1 species